UACAGAGGGGGCAAGCGUUGUUCGGAAUUACUGGGCGUAAAGGGCGAGUAGGUGGCCAUCUAAGUCAGACGUGAAAUCCCCCGGCUUAACCUGGGAACUGCGUCUGAUACUGGACGGCUUGAGUAUGGGAGAGGAACGUAGAAUUCCAGGUGUAGCGGUGAAAUGCGUAGAUAUCUGGAGGAAUACCGGUGGCGAAGGCGGCAUCCUGGACCGAAACUGACGCUGAGGCGCGAAAGCUAGGGGAGCAAACGGG
rnacentral:rRNA from 1 species